rnacentral:rRNA from 1 species
GUGGUCAUGGAAGUCGAAAUCCGCUAAGGAGUGUGUAACAACUCACCUGCCGAAUGGAUUAGCCCUGAAAAUGGAUGGCGCUUCAGCGAUCUACUUAUACUGUGCCAUCUUGAUUCGUAUAAAUCAGGAUGAGUAGGAGGGCGUGGAGGUUAUGUGUUGAAGCGUUUGGUGUGAACCUGCGUGGAACGGCCUCUAGUGCAGAUCUUGGUGGUAGUAGCAAGUAUACAAGAGAGAUCCUUGUAGACUGAAGUGGGGAAAGGUUUCGCGUGAACAGCAAUUGGACGCGAGUGAGUCGGUCCUAAGCAUGGCCUGAGAUGGUGGAAUGGAUGAUUGUUUGAAAGAUAUCAAUCCGCGUGCGAAAGGGAAUUGCGUUAAUAUUCGCAAACCAGAGGUUAGUGUUUAAUGCGGUAACGCUAGCGCUGUUUGGAGACGUUGGCGAGCAUCCCGG